rnacentral:rRNA from 1 species
GACGAACGCUGGCGGCGUGCUUAACACAUGCAAGUCGAACGGAAAGGCCCUGCUUUUGUGGGGUGCUCGAGUGGCGAACGGGUGAGUAACACGUGAGUAACCUGCCCUUGACUUUGGGAUAACUUCAGGAAACUGGGGCUAAUACCGGAUAGGAGCUCCUGCUGCAUGGUGGGGGUUGGAAAGUUUCGGCGGUUGGGGAUGGACUCGCGGCUUAUCAGCUUGUUGGUGGGGUAGUGGCUUACCAAGGCUUUGACGGGUAGCCGGCCUGAGAGGGUGACCGGCCACAUUGGGACUGAGAUACGGCCCAGACGCCUACGUGAGGCAGCAGUGGGGAAUAUUGCACAAUGGGCGGAAGCCGGAUGCAGCAACGCCGCGUGCGGGAUGACGGCCUUCGGGUUGUAAACCGCUUUCGCCUGUGACGAAGCGUGAGUGACGGUAAUGGGUAAAGAAGCACCGGCUAACUACGU